UCGACCAUAUGCAGGCUGAUGGGAUUAGUGGGGAUUGGCAUCAUGGUUGGCACAAAUAUCAUGGGUUAAAGGGUGUCAGAGGUUAUGGGGAGAAGGCAGGAGAAUGGGGCUAGGAGCAAAAGAUAGAUCAGCCAUGAUUGAAUGGCAGAGUAGACUUGAUGGGCCAAAUAGCCUAAUUCUGCUCCGAUCAAUAUAUCUUACAUUACGGUAUGUAAUUAGUCUAUGCAAUACUUGUCCUAUGAAUACUUGAAUGCAAACAUGAAUGCAGACAAAUUCAUCUCCUUUUGUUUCAAGGGCAUAGAGUUGAAUCUUUCCAUGACCUCAAUGGAAUAGUUUUCAAGCAGAGUCGAUUAGAUAUGCAAUAUUAAAACACAUUUGUUACGAUAUUAAAAUGCAUUCAGUAUCAGUAUAAGGGAAGAACUCCUAGGUGAGGCAUCUAAAGUUUGAAACUGAUAUCUUUUAGUUUUGAGAAUAAUGUAAAUAACUUUCCUGCAUUACAAGCUCAACUUUCACUUUAAGCACUCAAAAUUAAAUCCAAUAUAAGUCAGAAGAGACACAAGAAACUGCAGGUGCUGGAAUCUCGAGCAAAACACAUAGUGCUGGAGGAACUCGGUGGCCCAGAUGGCAUCUGCAGAGGGAAUGGACAGGUGACAUAUUGGGUCGGGAGCAUAAUUAGAAAACCUGUGUAUGAAGGAAUUGCGGAUGCUGGUUUACACCGAAGAUAGACACAAAAUGCUGGAGUAACUCAGUGGGACAGGCAGAGGGAAUGGUUGACGUUUUGGGUCGAGUCUGAAUAAGAGUCUCGACCUGAAACAUCACCCAUUCCUUCUCUCCAGAGAUGCUGCCUGUCCCACUGAGUUACUCCAGCAUUUUGUGUCUAUCAUUAGAAAACCGAUUAUUCAGUUACUUUGAAUUGUUUAUUGUUGGUUGGAGCUUGCUGUGUGUACCUUGGCUGCUAUUUUCUAUAUUAGCACAUUGAGUACACCUGAAAAGUGCUUCAUCGACUGCAAAGUGUUUUGCAAAACCCCAAAAAGAUCUAUGGGAACUGCGAGCCAACUUUCUUUGUAUCCACAGCAAUGUGCAUCUUCACCAUACCAAGUGCUGGAUUGAAUAAAAGAGACUGAAAAUAUUACUCUCUUAGAAGUGAAUCAAACAAAUUAUAGUGAGAUUAGGUUGCUCCAAGUUAUAACUGUGCCUAUUAAAUUUAGAUGAGCAAAAAGGUAAAUUCAGCAAUAAAAAUAUACAAGCAUGCACUGUACACUAACUAAUAUAGUACAAAUGUUUCUCGUACCUAAUAUAUCUUAAUUACAUUUCUAAAUGGCGGACCAGAACCAUUUUAAACCUGAUCUUUUGUGAUGAAAUGUUAAACAUUCAAUAAUUUGCAUUUUUAUGCUACUUCCCUAAAUGUGCAGAUGUAUUAAAUUCAAGACCAAAGCUCUCUGCGAAAGUGUGAUGUGUGACUUCAUUUCUUUUCAACAUCUGUUUCAUGCAACUAAUUUCCAGCUCUACACUCUGGAGUUAAUGAGUGGCUGAAAGCAUGUUACUGUUGGGGGAAAAAAAUUCAAAGCGAACAAAUUCACAUAUAUUGCUUGCAAGAUAUGGUUCUAUGUAUACAUUCAGUUUUGAUUUAAAGCAGUGUUUUCACUCUCCACAUAGUGUAUUUUGUUACUGAAGCAUAUCAUUAAAAAUCCAAUGCUGACUUUGGCAGCCAGAGUCCAGAGUGCAAGAAUGUCUUACUUGAAGCAGCUGGGAAAUAUACACCGGCUUACUCCACAACUUUAUAUUCACCCUAGUCUAAACAGUGUUCAACUGCAUUGUAACUUUAAGUUACUUUAAAGACUGUAAAGCUGCAGCAAGUAAGAAUUUCAUUGUUCCGGUUCAUAUCCUGUGCAUAUUACAAGGGUGGUUUGUUUUGUUUAAGGAUAGGUGCGAACACUACUGAGAAUGACACGAAUUAAUGUAUACUGAAAAUGUCUGAAGAGUUUUCACACAUUUUGCUUUGUAUAUGAUUUUUAUUCUGAAUAAAGUUUAUUUUGGGUUAAAUAGACUAUCCUGUGCAAAAGACAGAUAAAUACUCUUGAAAUCUUAAACUCGCACCAUCUAAAUAAAUUCAACACAGCCUUUUAUCAUGCUUUUGUACUUGAUGCAUUUAAGUGUGGAAAUUAUACAGAAAUUGUGGAGGAGGCGUACGCUAGAUCGAAAGAUCUUGGUUCUUUAGAGAUCAGCUAACAAUUCAGCCAGCGAGACAGCCAGCCAAAAUAGCUAACAGGAAAUAGGAAGGCCACAUGUGGAACUAAUUACUCAUGUGUAGGCCAUGACAAAGAACAUUUCUCCAGACUUUUCAUGAGUUUUACUUUCAGGAAGUAGCUAUAAUUACUGUUCAAGUCUAGGGCAUGAUUCUUGCACUGACAGUUCCAGUGUUUGAGAGGAGCCCGUACCCUUUUUUAUACUGAACGGAAACUGAGAUAAAACUGCAACAAAUUAAAAACAAAUGUCAUGUUCACAACGGCUUAGGUAUUGACUAACAUAGGUGUGGAACGGUAUUCCUGUCAGUUAGAAAUAUCUGUUGUAAACCGCCGCACUCAAAUGGUUCAUCUUGAUUUUACAGCUUUUCCAUGGAAGAGGCCUACUUCCUGCCUCGCUCGGAGAGCUGGCUGAAAGAUGAAAUGACUGUUUAGCAUUACACUGAAACAUCUGGUACCAUUUUAUAUACAGACCCAUGUCUGAGAGCAGGCAAUUCUAGCGGUUUCUCCAGCGGCACAGUGCAUACCCAAUCUCCCUGGGGUGACAUCAUCCCAUAUAUGGGCUGCUAGGUCCAGCCCACCCCUUUUUUUUUUCUUGUCCUAAAUUCAUUGCCAGAUCCCCGUCUCCUGCAAAUGUGCCACGUCAAGGCUGGAAAUCACAGUUCUUUUAGAGACUUCAGUGUACGCAGUCAACAGUGGAUGGUGAACUUGGUGUGCAUGUAUAAUUUCUUUGAUGGCAGAAGACAAGAAAGAGUCAAAAGGUCCUGCUCCGUCGCCCCAGUGUUCAGACUACCUGUUCAGGACAAUACUGUUGUACAGUAGUCUGCACAUUGGUUAGACUGGGUAAGGGAAGGCAACAGUAAGUUUCUUUCCACACUUUGCAAGGAAGACAGAUGAACAGUGCGACAGAGGCUCUCGCCGCAUAGUUUAGCAGCUGGAGACAUGCCUAGGCCUAAAGUUGGACAACACCUGGUACAUGACCUGCCGAACUUCACUGACUUGAUCCACCAUCAUGAAUGGAGAUAUGUACCAUUUGAAAGGAAGGGAUUCAACGCUAGGUUUUCGACUGUAAAUAACACAGAGGUCCUCCCGUCAAUUGAAAAUAGUUUCUUGUACCAUUUCUUACCUCAUGAUCAAAAGUUCAGAUGUGUCAGUGCAAUGAUCUAAUCCAUUCCUUGAUUUUGUGUCGUAACUGCAGCUAAUUGUAUGAAGAAAAUUGAUUUUUGCUUUAAUAAUUUAAUGCAUUCAAUGAUCAUUUUUUUUAUCUAUGCGAAAUUCACUGCAAAAUUUAGCUGUGAAUAUGCAGCUUAUGUGAGCAUUUUCAAUGAGUUAAUUACUAUUUGAGGAGAUAAACUGAUUUCAGAUUAUUUUAAGGUGAGUAGUACAAAUUAGGAUUUUGAAUCAAGAAUUUGUAUGAAGUAUUAAUUAAUGUGCUUAAAAUGUUUGGGUUUUAAUGCAGUAUGUGAACGUUUAUAGCUGAUAAAAGUUCCAUCUACAUUAUCGACAACAACAACUCAUUCAUCUAGGAAUGGUGGAGGAAGAACUUUUUUAAAAACUGCACUGUUGGUUAAAAAAAAAUGCACGUAUGACUAAAAUUAAUAGCAGAAGAAAAAUAUUCAGACUGUUUUAAUUUGGUUCAGCGUUAAGAAUGGAAGAGCCAUCAAUUUUUCCAUAGAGAAUUAUGAAACAUUCAAAAAUCAAAUCUCACAAUUUGAAAUGAGAAUUUAAAUUAAUAGAUUCCAGAAGACCAGUUUAAAAGGAUAUUUUGUUACAAUUUGCAAAUUAAUAUUUGACUGAAAGAGUAGCCCCUUUUUCAGCAACAUCAUUUUAUAUUAUAUUCAAGCUCGUUACUGAGCUAUAACUACAGCUGCUUGGCACAUGUUUCAGGAAAAAGGAAUGCUUAAGAAAUUCAAAAUAAAAGGUCUUAUCAGCAUCCUCAAGGGAUUACUGUACGCUGAAGGCUUAUUUUCUGUGAGGCUAAAUAUGUGUUGCUAAUUUUACAAUCACCCAUUCACAGUUAUGCUGCAUCAUAUCCACUGACCAUCUUGCUCUCCCAUUUGACGUGAAGAAGUAUUAGUUCCCACUAUUUUAGUGCGAUAGUUGUUCAACUUAUUAUUGGAAACACUUUAAAAUUAUAAUUUACAUUGCCAAUUUAGGAAGUUGCAUCAUCUGCUUAAAAACAACUCCCAACUAUUCUAAAAUUAUAUUCCCAUGUAUAUUUGAGCCAUUAAUCUUUUUUUUAAGAGAAUACCUGCUCGCAUUUCACCAAUAUCCUACGUAUGGGUAAGAUAUUAGAUCGAACCUCACGGCAUAUUUACUGAACUAUUAAUAUUUAUGAAUAAGGACAAUCAUUUUGAACAAAAGAAUCACCACAAAAUAUGUAAGUCUUAAGACAAAGUGUGAGAUUAGUUCAGUAGUUUGCAUGGAAUUCGAAGCAACUAAAUUUAAUAAAAAGUAUAUCAAUCUUUUCCUGAUUAAAAUCAUUUUUGAU